rnacentral:lncRNA from 1 species
GGAGCUGGCACCACUAGAUUUUCAUUGUGUUCCUUUCUUGUCACCAAAUACAUGCAUCUUACCCUGAGGUUUGCUGUAUCUUAUACUCCCUCUUUCACUUUAUAUUUUUUCUGUCAUGGGAACAAAGAGGGUUUUACAGAUGAAUUUGCUUUGCCAUGUUGAUGAGCCUGGACACCAGCUGGGGUGAGGUCCUCCUGGCAUUUGGGGACCUCUUCCAGCUCACUGGUAUCACUCAGUCCAAGCGAAAGGAGCCAUCAAGUGGGAAGCCAGGAGUUUCUCCAAAGGAAUCAUCUCUCCAGAGGACAAAUCCCCCCACCUGCAUACCCAAGCCGUCUCUUCGCAAGAUUGCCCUGGAAGUGCCUGAGGACAAAUGUGAACACCUGCCCUAGCCCCACAGCCCCUGAGAGCUCCUCAUGGCAUUGGGUUUUCCUGGAGAGAGAGGCCUGAGAUACUGCACAUGGGGCUGAGCAAAGGGAAUCGUCUUCCUCUUGGAGUGGAGGGAGGGCAACCACAGGAGGAGCAAAGCGGGAGGAACCUGGAGCCCGUGGGCCGGGCAGAAGGUGAGGCCAGCAGCAGGACCUGACCACCAGGGUGACACAAUGUUGAAGAAGCCUCCCAUCCCCAGUGCCUGGCCAGCCCCUCUGUGAAAGCUUGUUUAUAUCUCCAGGGGUAAAAGAUUGUUUGAGGAAAUCCAUUAGCUUCGGCAAUUCAAAGAGGGUGAGUUUUAUAUCUAGGUCAAUAUGACAAGUGCAAUGACAGCCUGGACCGACAGCCCAGGAGGUGGAGAAGCCUGGAGAAAGCCCUUCUCAGAGCCCCUCCCUGGUGCCUGCUGUGGGCUCCACUGUCCCUGACACCCACCCUCUCCUGGCCAGUGAGUCUGUGGGCCAAGGCACUCAGCUUGAGCACUGAACCCAGAAUUCCUACUCACCACCAGAGCCAGCCCCACGGCCUGCAGCACCCCCGUGGCCCAUCCUCUAGGGGGCUGGCCAUGUGUGGCUGUGUCCAGCCGAGGUCCAAAGGGCACAUGAGCUGUGUGACCACACCCCUGCAGGUCAGACCUUUCAGGGGCCUCCUGAGCCCAUGCAUCAGGGAAAGGAGCCAGUUCUCCCCUGUGUUGCUGUGCUACUCUUCUAAAUCUAAACCAGGACUUCAGGUCAUUGGGCAGGUUUCUUUGCGAAGGACCACAGGCUCAGGUACAUUCAACACUGCCAGGUUGGAUACAAGGAUAACAGGAUGUUUUGUGUGCCACAGGAGCCCCUCUGACAUUAAGUUACACAGGUAUGUAACUUUCUGUCAUUCACUUUGAAUGUUGAAUUGUCAUUUUGAAUUUAAGAAAUACCUGCUCGGAUCAUGUCUUAAAUUUUAAUUAAAGAAUUUCUCCUCAACGAAGUACAUCCCUGUGGGUGGCUGUGUUGUAAGCUUCUAGCAGCCUGCACAGUACCAGAGGCCAGGGAGAGCUUGGGCCCUACAUCAUCGUGCUGGGCAAAAGCCUCCCAGUCUGUUGCAGGCUUCUCUCAAUGCAGUGCACAUGUGAGAUAAAUACAAUCCGUG